rnacentral:rRNA from 1 species
AUGGACCCGCGGCGCACUAGCUAGUUGGUGAGGUAACGGCUCACCAAGGCGACGAUGCGUAGCCGACCUGAGAGGGUGAUCGGCCACACUGGGACUGAGACACGGCCCAGACUCCUACGGGAGGCAGCAGUAGGGAAUCUUCCGCAAUGGACGAAAGUCUGACGGAGCAACGCCGCGUGAGUGAUGAAGGUUUUCGGAUCGUAAAGCUCUGUUGUUAGGGAAGAACAAGUGCCGUUCAAAUAGGGCGGCACCUUGACGGUACCUAACCAGAAAGCCACGGCUAACUACGUGCCAGCAGCCGCGGUAAUACGUAGGUGGCAAGCGUUGUCCGGAAUUAUUGGGCGUAAAGGGCUCGCAGGCGGUUUCUUAAGUCUGAUGUGAAAGCCCCCGGCUCAACCGGGGAGGGUCAUUGGAAACUGGGGAACUUGAGUGCAGAAGAGGAGAGUGGAAUUCCACGUGUAGCGGUGAAAUGCGUAGAGAUGUGGAGGAACACCAGUGGCGAAGGCGACUCUCUGGUCUGUAACUGACGCUGAGGACCGAAAGCGUGGCGAGCGAACAGGAUUAGAUACCCUGGUAGUCCACGCCGUAUACGAUGAGUGCUAAGUGU